rnacentral:lncRNA from 1 species
UUUUAAUAACUAAAAUUAACAUGGAUAACAACUGUCUGAAAGGUAACAACAACUAAAAACCAACUAACUAACUGAAAAUGUCUGAAAACCUCUAACAACUAGAAUAAAAGAGUUGUCGGACAUGCCCCAACUAACUCCAAAACUGUCUAACAAUAAAGAAAAUAAUGAAAUACUAUAAUAGCUGAAUAAAGAUCAUGUCCUCGAUAGAUGAGGACUCACCAUGAUAGCUUCUGCUGAUAAACUGAUCUAUCUAAGUACGAUUGAGAAUCCAAGCAUUUGAACCUAUGAUAUAAGACAUCAUAUUACAAGAAAAGAGUAUGCGGUCAGUACGUUUGAAUGUACUGGUAUGCUAAAUAGAGUUAGGCUGCUAUGCGUGGGUUCAUGCUCAUGAGUAUUAAUUGUUGGAGGUAAAGCAUGAGAUACUGAGUGUAAAUCCAUAGAAAUGUAAAGACUGAAAAUGCAUGACCACGCAUAAAGCAAAUACUGAAAAAGUAUGUAUACUGAGUUACUGAAAUCUGAUGGUUAAAGAACUGGUGACUAUAUGCUAUGGUCAAUAAAGACAGAACAGAACUCUGAGCUGAGUACUAAAACUGAAACUUUGGGAGCUUUUAUCUAACCGACAUACCCCAAUAUAGACUAAUUUAGGGUCUAAACUGUAACCCCAGUUAGAAGGGUGUCCGUACCGUGCCACGGGUUACUAACAAUGGUUGGGUCAACCCUAAUCUGGCAGGAAGACUCAUGAGAUGUAUAUAUGUAUGUCAACCCUAGACGGGAAGGAAGACGUAUCGACCUACGCUGGAUACAUAGUUCUAUAACUCAGGGAAUGCUACUAAGGGUCACACCCUAAGCUGGAAGAAAUGCCCCUAUCCCUGAGUUCGCUCGGUGCUGAAUCCUACUCCCAACUGAACCGACAAUGAUCACUAGACUGUACUAAGCUUGACUGAACUCACUAGAUUUUCUUGCUUGGUCCAAAUCUAUCCGUUUUUCGAUUGUCUUAAGGACGGCUCUCUCUCUUCCUCCCUACCCUCUCUCUCGCUCGCACCGGUCACCGGCCCCCGUCGCCAUCGCCGACCGUCGGUGCCGACCCGACGGUACCUCCAGGCCCGACCUCCGGCCCCGGCGCCGACCUCCGGCGCUGCCCUAAUGGCUCUCUCUCUCUAACGGCUCUCUCUCUCUCUCUUCCUACCCUCUCUCCCUCUCUCUCGCACUGGUCCCCGGUCCCCGGCGCCAUUGCUGACCUUUGGCGCCGACCCGACCCGACCGCCGGCCCCGACCUCCGGUCCCUGNNNNNNNNNNNNNNNNNNNNNNNNNNNNNNNNNNNNNNNCUGUCCGUACACCCCACCCCUCACCCCCGGCGGGGUACAUCAGCCCUUCCCCCCACCUCGACCUUCAGCCAGCCACCGCCCGGUCUCCAGCCGACACCCGUCGCUCCGUCUCCAGCAGCCGCAGCCCCAAGCAUAAUCUGGUGACUUCUAACCUUUGUUGUUUUCGUUAUUUCAUAUUUCAUUUUAUUUCAUUAUUUCAUAUUCCAUUCUUAGUGUUAUGCUAGUAGUAGCCCCUGUACCUUGACUUGCGUGGGAUUUGUGGACAUUGUCUGUUGUCUGUUGUGGCUGUGGUUAUUUCUUCCACUACUUUGGAUUGGGUUAUUAGCGCCCUAACCCAAUAACCCAAUUGAGUAUCGUUUGCCCCCUAAUUGAGUAUAGUUUUGUUUCGGGAGUAUUCCUUUGAAUUUGUGUGAGCCUUGUAUUUCCUUGCUGCUGCUUUGAUACUACCACCGUGUAUAUCUGUAUAUUUUCCUAUACUUUCGUGUAGUUGUGGCUGUGGGCGGUAAUGGGUGGAUAGGGUCAUGUCUGAGGGAGCUGGGGCGUGGGGCCGUGGUGGGGGCGGGAGAUGAGGAGAGGGCGAGAGUGGGAGGGAGGCCAAGGUUUGGCCGCAGGGGGGGUAGUGGAGGGCUUGUGGAUAGUGACGGUAGGCUGAGGGUUGGGUCUUGGAAUAUAGGGACCCUUCAGGGUAAGUCUAUAGAACUUGUGAAGAUUCUUAGGAAGAGGAGGAUCAACAUUGCGUGUGUUCAAGAGACUAAGUGGGUAGGGUCUAAGGCUAGGGAUGUGGAUGGUUACAAGCUGUGGUACUCUGGGAGCGACAGGCGUAGGAAUGGAGUUGGCAUCUUGGUAGAUGAAGAGCUUAGAGGUCAGGUAGUGGAGGUGAAGAGGAUCAACGAUAGGUUGAUGACUAUCAAGUUGGUCAUUCGGGGGUUUACCCUGAACGUGUGUAGUGCCUAUGCGCCGCAUGUGGGAUCGGAGGGGGAGGAGAAGAUGCGGUUCUGGGAGGCCUUGGAGGACGUGGUGAGAGGCGUGCCCAGUUCGGAGAAGAUUGUGGUAGCAGGGGAUUUCAACGGGCACAUCGGGGCGCUACCGGGAGGCUUUGGGGAUGUGCAUGGAGGUUUUGGUUUUGGGGAGAGAAAUGAAGAGGGGGCGACCCUAUUGGAGUUUGCGAGGGCGUUUGGGCUGGUGGUGGUGAACUCGGGCUUCCCGAAGAAGGACGACCACCUGAUCACUUUUCGGAGCGCGGUAGCCAGGACCCAGAUUGACUUCUUGUUGCUUAGGAAAGGGGAUAGGGCGCUGUGUAAAGAUUGUAAAGUCAUCCCGAGUGAGAACCUUUCGACCCAACAUAGGCUCUUGGUUAUGGAUUUGGGUAUGAAGAAGAAUAAAAAGAGGAGGAGUAAGGAGUGUAGACCGAGAAUUAAGUGGGGCGGUUUGACGCCAGUGAAUGCGUGGGAGAUAGGGGAGAGGUUGGCGGGAAUGGGGGUGUGGGAGUGUAGGGGGGACGUGGAUAAUAUGUGGGACAGGGCGGCAGCGUGCAUCAGGGAAAAUGCAAGGGAGGUGUUGGGUGUUUCUAGGGGCCGGGCCGGACAUCAUCGGGGGGAUUGGUGGUGGAAUGAAGAGGUGGGGAAGAAAGUGGAGACCAAGAAAGAGUCGUAUGCUAAGUUGGUGGAAAGUAAGGACGAAGAGGAGAAGCGGGUAAACAGGAAAGAGUACAAGCUAGCAAGGAAGGAGGCGAAGUCAGCGGUCACGGCAGCUAAGACGGCUGCUUUUGAGAGCUUGUAUGCAGGGUUACAGGGGAAAGGAGGGGAGAAAAAGUUGUUCCGACUCGCUAAGGCUAGGGAGAGGAAGGGUCGUGACCUCGAUCAGGUGCGGUGCAUUAAGGGGGAGGACGGUAGAGUGUUGGUGGAGGACGGCCACAUAAAGAAGAGAUGGCAGUCGUACUUUCAUAGGCUCUUGAAUGACGAGGGGGACAGAGCUAUUGUGUUAGGGGAACUGGAGCACUCAGGGGAGUGUCGGGAUUUUAGCUAUUGUAGACGUUUUAAGGUAGACGAGGUUAGACAGGCAGUCCGCAGGAUGCGAAGGGGUAGGGCGACGGGGCCGGAUGAGAUACCGGUGGAGUUUUGGAAGUUCGUUGGAGAGGCUGGUGUAAGGUGGUUGACUGCAUUGUUCAAUGAAAUUUUCAGGACGGCAAAGAUGCCCGAGGCGUGGAGGUGGAGUACCAUGAUCCCCCUCUAUAAGAAUAAGGGGGACAUUCAGUGUUGCAAUAACUAUAGGGGGAUUAAGUUACUGAGUCACUCUAUGAAGAUCUGGGAGAGAGUGGUCGAGGUGAGGCUGAGACGGAUAGUGUCUAUUUCGGAAAACCAGUUCGGAUUUAUGCCCGGCCGCUCGACGACGGAGGCAAUCCACCUGGUACGGAGGUUGGUGGAGCAGUAUAGGGAGAGGAAGAAGGAUCUGCACAUGGUGUUCAUCGACCUGGAAAAGGCGUACGACAAAGUCCCCAGGGAGGUGCUUUGGAGAUGCUUGGAGGUGAGUGGAGUACCGCAGGCAUAUAUCAGAGUAAUUAAGGAUAUGUAUGAGGGAGCGAAAACCCAGGUGAGGACGGCGGGAGGAGACUCAGAGCAUUUCACUGUCCUGACAGGAUUGCAUCAGGGAUCUACUCUUAGUCCCUUUUUGUUUGCGUUGGUGAUGGAUGUGUUGACGCGGUGUAUUCAAGGGGAGGUGCCGUGGUGUAUGCUUUUUGCAGACGAUGUAGUUCUGAUAGAUGAGACUCGAGGGGGUGUGAAUGACAAAUUAGAGGUGUGGAGGCGAACUCUUGAGUCUAAAGGGUUCAGGGUGAGCAGAAGCAAGACAGAGUAUGUGGAAUGCAAGUUUAAUGACGUGAGGCGGAAGAAUGAGGAAGUAGUGAAGCUGGAAGCACUGGAGGUAUGUAAGAGGGAUAAGUUCAAGUAUCUUGGGUCCGUGAUCCAGAGUAACGGUGAGAUUGACGAGGAUGUCUCGCAUCGUAUUGGGGCGGGAUGGAUGAAGUGGAAACUCGCGUCGGGGGUGCUGUGUGAUAAGAAGGUGCCGCCCAAGCUUAAAGGCAAAUUUUACAGGGUGGUAGUCCGUCCGGCCUUGUUGUGCCAGUUAAGAACUCCCACAUCCAAAAAAUGAAGGUGGCAGAAAUGCGGAUGUUGCGCUGGAUGUGUGGACUGACUAGAGGGGAUAGAGUUCAGAAUGAGACUAUCCGGGAGAAGGUUGGUGUGACUUCAGUGGAGUGCAAGAUGCGGGAAGCACGAUUGAGAUGGUUCAGACACGUGAAGAGGAGGGGCAUGGAUGCCUCGGUCCGUAGGUAUGAGAGGCUAGCGUUGGAUGGUUUUAGGNNNNNNNNNNNNNNNNNNNNNNNNNNNNNNNNNNNNNNNNNNNNNNNNNNNNNNNNNNNNNNNNNNNNNNNNNNNNNNNNNNNNNNNNNNNNNNNNNNNNNNNNNNNNNNNNNNNNNNNNNNNNNNNNNNNNNNNNNNNNNNNAUUACUUGGUGGGGGUUUUAUUCUUGUUAUGAUUCCGUGUUCCGUGUUCCAUGUUUUAUUACGAAUCUGUGUGCUUUCCUAUGCUUUUCUCUGUUUUAUAUUACUUAUGGGUGCCGUAUUUAUGUUAUGUAAUCUGCUUCUGUGCUUUACUAUGUGUUUGUGUGGUAUCUCGUGACUUGAGCCGGGGGUCUAUCGGAAACAGCCUUUCUACUUCAUCAGAGGUAGAGGUAUGGACUGCGUACAUCUUACCCCCCCCCCCAGACCCAACUAGGUGGGAAUACACUGGGUUUGUUGUUGUUUGAUUACUAUUUGGGAUAAUACCGGGAUCAUUCUAUUGUGACUGGAACUAAAUAGAUAGAUAAUUUCGGGUAUUCAACACCCCCAGGACUCGAUAGUACUAAUAAUGGCACAAUUUUUUCACAUAGAUAUUUUGUCAAAAACUUGGGGCACAAUUCUUAUGCAUGAAAAUUAACAACAUAAUAUUAUCAUGACUACCACAUUUAACUUAUGAUUCAAGGGUUUUACAUGAGAUAUUACAUCAAUCCACAUACAUAGUAGUUUAUUACAUAGAACUUAUAUAUAUUUCUUAGUUUGAAAUCCAACAACACAUACAUGAACACAAUUUCAAUUUAUAAUAUAUGAAACAUAAAUUAGGUUUUAAAAAGGAUUCUUGAACUCCAAGGGUGGAAGGAACACAAGGACGAACAUCUAACAUACCUUGAUUGUUAAAUUCGCGGGAGUUGUUGGAUAUUGCUUGAAGCUUAGACUUGAAUUUGAUGAACCUAGGGUUUUGUUCUUAAGAGGAUUUGUGAAAAAGAUGAGUAAUUAUGCUAUUUGAGGCUUUAAUCCCGUGUUAUGGGCAUAUUGGAUGUAGGAAAAAUGACCCAUUUGACCUUUAAAAUGCGGAAUAAAACUGAAGAAAAAUCAUGGACCGGAUUGGGCAGGGAAUCACGGGCUCUGGAGCACCGCUCUGAGUAGGGCAUCGUGGGCUCCAUCAUGGGAUCCCUAAGUGCCGAACUUGGUGGUGGGCGCGGGCUAGUCUCUCCCUACCAAUAUUUUUAGAAGUCAAAACAUGCCCUUAUAUUUGUCCAAAAAUUCUGAAACUCACCCGAGAGGUACUAUUGACUUCCCCAAUCAUGAACCAACUUCCAAACUAAAUUUCCAAUGUCAAAAAGGUUAAGAAUAAAUUCAUCAAAGUUUGGAGGGCUUUAGAAAUGACUAAGUCCUAACACUUAGUAAAAUAUUCUAAGUCUUGGCCCCCUUUUUACAUGAAAGAGUGAGAUGAAAUGGUCUUUCAAUUUGCUCCCACUUUUUACUUUAAAAAUGGAUUUCUUCUAUAAUGAAAAUUGUACCACCUUAUUUAAUGAAUUAUUAGCUUUUAUAACAAUAUGUGUUAUUUUGGAAAUUUAGAUCAAGGUUAAUUCUGAUUCAUUAUUAUUCCACUCUUUUACCACUAUUAUUUACUCCAAUCAAGAGCGAUUUCGACCCUUUCUAUGUUGUUAUGCGUAUUUAUUCCCGACGUUAAUCUCAGGCAAUGGAUUUAUAGAUUUACACUUUUUAGUCAAAGAUCGAUUUCAUGCAGUUAUUAUAUAUAUAUAUAUAUAUAUAUAUAUAUAUAUAUAUACACGGUACUGGAUCAAGUAGAUUGAUUAAGAUGGUUAUUGAAAGUCAUUAUUUGGUACUAGGCAGUGUAUACAAAUAUCUCGAUUCCCCUAUGGUCCCCUUCAUCUGUGAGACAUAAUGCUGGAUAAAGAUAGACACCAUAGUUCCUACAUUAACAAGCUACUAUGCUGAAGGAUGUGUACACACUUAUUACAUUAUGGAUCAUUUAUUGAACAUAGUUUACAAUUAUUUUAUGUUCUAUUCAUUCGCAUACAUUGCCUAUCACCAGUAUAAUUGAUUGGUGCUUAUAUCUAUCGUCCUUAUAGAGUGUUGCACAGGUAGAAGCUAUGAUUGUUGUUUGUUGAGUGCUUUUUUGCACUCCGUGCUUAUAGGGUCCCUGUUAGGUUAUUGUUUCUUUGGACUAACCGAUUAAUUUAUUAUUGGAUAUUCUGAUUAGUUUAUGUCAAGAUAAUUAUGGACUAGUUUCUGAGGUUGUCAGUACGUUUCUGAUUCCUUUUCUUCUUAUCUAAGAAAUGUUACUGUUAGAUUAUCUCACAUUUAGUCAUACUUUGAUUAGAGACCCUAAUUAUGCUAGUAUUAUCUUUUCUUACUAUAUAUGAUCCUCGAGAGGUUAGAUUGGUUCCCUCAGGUUAUUACCUCUAAGUUUAGUCCUAUAUAUAUAUAUAUAUAUAUAUAUAUAUAUGUAUGUAUAUAUAUGUAAAUGGUAUUACCUUAUAUCCCUAUAUUUCCUCAUUUAUUCAUAUCGUAUAUAUACCCUUUGCCCUUGUAUAAAUGCUAUAUAUCCUUCCUUCACUCUUCAUUUGCAUACUGACUAGUGAUAUAUGUUAUUGUACUUUAUUUCUUGAAUACUGCUAGAAUAGGAUAGUUUAUCCUUAUUACUCCUUUAGCAUUAUUAUGUUUAGUUUCUUAGAUAGUUGCCUGUAGUUUAUAUUCAUGCUUUACAUAUUAUUUAUGCUUCAUUACUUUGGAGCUCAGUCAUUAGAUGCUUACUAAGUACCACGUGUUUGGUACUCACACUACGCAUCAAAGAUUUGGGGUGAGCUCCUGGCAUUUGAAGUAUUCCUAAACUUCCUGCUCUCCUUUUUGUUGAUUAGAUUGAUCAUUAUUUUGUAUUUCAUAGACGACUUGUACUUAUGCUUAUUUUAUAUUUUGCUUAUACUCUUGUCGUAUUAGAAGUUCUUGUACUAACUUCACUAGGCCUUGGGGGUUUAUUCUAUAUUAGUCUUCUAUUUAAAUUUUUUUCACUAUUUUCUCCAUUUCUCCUGAUAGUUUGUUACUAGCUAUUACAAAAUAUGGGUUGAUUGGUGUGUUAUAGCAGGUACCAUCAUGACCUGAGAAUUGAAUUGUGACACAUAACUUGUGAAAACAUACAACCAUGUUGAACGAGAUGAGCACUUAUAAACUUAUACCUAAAGAAUUAGAAUAUGCAAAAGAAAUAAAAGCAAGGCAAAACAAAGAGGGAUUAUAGAAUAGGCUCAAAAUAUCUCUACCUUUUCCAUUUAAGCAUAAAAUCCUCCCAAAAUGAAAAAACGACUUUAAUCCAUAAAGAUAUAAUCAAGAAUCAUACAAAAAAUGAAAAUAUUCACUGGACGAAAAAAACAUCUUCUCUAUAUUUUCACAAAACUCGCAUUUUGGAUAAUAAUAAGAAGCAAAACAGGGAAGGAUGAAUUUCUCGACUCAUAGUUUUGGACAUAGAUCAUCGGCAUAUGUUAAGAUAACAAAAAUUUAAAAUAAAACCACAGUUAUAAAUUCAAUUUGGAAACAGUGAACAACAACAUCAUAACCAAACUUGAAAAUUGAAUACACUAUACAUUCACAUACAAAUGCAUUUUCAGAAUAGACAACAACAUAAACUCGAUCGAAAUUCACAUACAAACCUAUUUUUCAGAAUUAACAACAACAUAAGUCGAAUCAAAAUUAAAUAAAAAAUAACAUGUUCACAGAAUCAAAAUGGGAUAAAAUAAAAGAAGGUGAAACUGAGAUGAAAAGGUGAAUUCGCACCUUGUUUGGGGGAGCAAGACCGAGGCUUCCCAUCAAGAUUCUGGCAAUAAACACAAAAUCGAACUCGCAAAAGUGAGUUAAGAGAAACAAGUAAUGGAAUUUUAUAACUUGAGUGUUUUCAAAUGCUUUCUUGAUCGACUUUUCUGAACAUUAGUGCGUUUUCCUGAAUUUUCAACUUGUGAUUUGAAGAUGACAAACACCCUUACUUAUAGGUGAAAAUCCAAACUUAAAAGUAUGUACUUGAAACUAAAAAUUUACAAAAAUAUGAAAGCAAAUAGAGAAGGAAAAUAAUUUGAAUUUUGAAUUCAAAAAUGAAUCUCCCCUUUUUUGUAUAUCUCCAGCUUUUUCAGAGAAUUAAUGAUGAAUUUGAAGCAGAUUUUCCAUUGUUGCACCAAUUUGGUGUUUGAUUGGAUGAUAUUUGUAGAUUUACGGGUUGGAAUGGUUGAAAUAAGGGGAAAUCUCGAUAGAGAUAAUAGGAGUAACAUGAUUUAUUUUUCUGAUUUAGGGUGGUGGGGGAGAGGUGAAGGGGGGAAAAGAGAGGAUCGAUAGUUGUUCUGUAUUUUUGGGGUAAAAGGGUUGGGACAUGUGGAUGUUGC